AUUCUCAUUAUGGCUUGACCUAGAAAAAGAUAAAAUAAAACAAAAUGAAUUAUUUAUACGUAUGAAAUAGUCAUAUACAUAUAGAUAUGGGAUAUAUAUCUAAUCUAAUCUAACAAUACUAAAAGCAGGAUAUCAACCUCUCUAAACGCGUCCACGUGGAUUGGAAAUUCAGACCAAUCAAAUGCAAGUUUUAUGACAUGUCAUUAGGUCAACACAUUAACAUACUGAACUUCAAUUUUAUUCGGCAAAAUCGAUUCCUUUUUUUUUCUUCUCAGUUUCUCUGCAAAACGUAUUCUGAACUUUUGAUUUCCUAUCCAAGAGUCCGCUCAUUGAUUCCUCUUCCUUUCUUCUCUCCUUCUCUACAAAACCUUUACCAUACCCAAGAGUCACUUUUUUUUUAAACUUCAGGCUUGUGAACUCUUAUUCUCGAAUUCGACUUUUGUGUGGUUCUCUUAGAAAUCCUAUUUCUGUAUUUAUGAUUCUGGAAAUUGGAAUUUUGUUUUUCGUAGUUGUAAGAUGGGGAACAUAUGAGAAAGCUGUUAUAGGCGUUUCAGAUAAAAAAAAAAAAGAAACAAGAGCUAAAGAAGGAGAAUCACGAUAAGUUACAAAGAGAUUUACGGCAAAGAUCAAAUUGAUGUGAUCUCCUCUGAACUCUGAUGGUAUCAUGGUAAAAAUAUUUGAUUCAAAAGCACUAAAAUUAUAGUGUUUUGUUUUGUUUUGUCUCUAAACAUGAUAUAAACGUCUAAACAUGAUAUAAACAUCUGAUUUGUUCGACGUGAUUUUGUGCAUUUAACAUCUGAUUUUUUCGACGUGAUUUUGUGCACUUAUGAUCCAGAGAGAGACAUAAGGCUUGCUACAAGGUCUUGAAUGGGGAAGGAAAAACCUCGAAAAACUGAAGGUUUCCGUUGGAUCUCUUGCAUUCUCUGAACCAUUUGGUUGUUGUAAGGGAACUUAUUGUUCAUCUGUGCGUUUUCUUCUUCCAAAGGGUUUUGUUUUUGUUAUCAUACAUUUUCACUUUCAAUAUUGUUAUCAUUUUUGAGUUUUAGCAGGGUAAGUAUGAUAAUAUGAAACUGAGGAAACUUCAUGAUAAAACCCACCGCGAGGAACAUAGAAUCAGAGGUGGAAAAAUUAAAGAAUGGACAUUUGACAAAAAGUAAAACUGCUUCCCUUAAUUCAUCACAUCUAGGAUCAGACUGUUGCAAUAUAUAUCAGGAUAUAUCGCGUUGCAGUGUUUAUUAUCUUUUAUUGUUCCUGCUCAUAUAUUUUUUUCUGGCCUUUUUUUCUUUAUAGGAAGAUAUUUCCAUUUGAAAACUAUAUACUUUUAAUUAGUAAACUCUAAGUAUGCUUCAAGAUUUUCAUGUCUUUUUAGUUUCUAUUCUUGAGCGUUUAACCUUUUACUAACGAUCUUUUGUUAAAACCCUUGAUUUUAGUGGCAGCUUCAGUAUGUUUCUGGAGGUAAGCACAGUUCAUCAUCAUUCUAAUGUAUUUUGUGUCCAUUUUUCCACGUCUCUAAAAGACCUAAAACUAAAUCUCACUGAACCAACCUCAUAUCUUAACCUUUUUGGAGUUCUGUGUGAUCAUGAUUUUGUGGUUUCUUUCUCACAGGUUAGCACAUUGGGGUACUUUGCAUCACAUUACCGUGUUAUGAGGAGGAAGCUUGACGAGAUUUAUGACUUGGUAACUGCUUUGAUUUUUAGGGGGUUUCAGAGGCUUACAGAAGAAACCGGUAAGGAAGAAAAUUUUAAAGUAGAAGUAUGUUUAUCAAAUGAUUUCAUUGGUUUGGAUUUCAUUAUCUAUAGUGUAUAGUCCCGGGAAUAAACUACACAUUCUUUUGUGGGUUUGGUGAGAUGUGAAAAUUAUGAGUGGAGCUCAAGUUUCGGCCGUAUGAUGCUCUCUUAAUUUUCUAUACUUUUGUACUUCUUCUAUGUAUCAACAUGCACUUAGAAUUCACGUGUUGCAUGGAGUUAUGCCAGAUGAUGUUUCUCGGUAACUCAAUUUUGCUGACCACUAUUCAGCUUUUGGCUUAAUUGAUAUGGUAUGUACUCUCACAUAGUAAUUUGUGCUUCCCCUGAGCUAUAAACCAUACAAGAGUAUGUUGCCAGCAAUCCAGGUAUUCCUCCCAGUUAAUGGUUUCUUCACUUCUUUAAAUUUGUAGCAAUCUAGAGUUGAUAUAUUGAUGGUUUUGUUUUGGUAGUUGCUUGCGGCUGGAGGUGCAAUGUAUGUGGAAGUUUUCAACAGAGUGAUUCAAUUGGCUUACAACAUCAUAAAGAGGAAUAAAGUCGGAGAAACUAACACUUACUUGGAUGGAACCUACUAUUGUUUCACUUAACCAAACUUGAAUCCAUUACUCCAGUAGAGACUGCUCUACUUCCCGUAACGACGUUAUCCGAGAAUUAGCAUAGUUUAAUAAGUAUAAAAUUGUUUUUGUUAUAGCUGGAUGAGUUAGAUGCAACGAUUUUUGAAUUGUGACUUUAUCAUUAUGCACAUGUUACAUUUCCUUUCUUCUUCUUUUUUGACUAAUGCAUGUCAUAUUUCUUGAGUCAUGAGAUUCUCUGUUUCUUUGAGGUUUAUUUCUCUGUAAGAUUCAACAAAGCUGCUCGGAUUGUGGUAUGUCUACAUCUGUGUGACUUUCUUUGAUUCAAGAGUUUUCAAUUUGAAUUCCAAGUUGUGUUUCCUUCUCUGAAGGGCAGAAGCUAGGUGCUUUUUUGACAUCCACCAAACCAGGAAUGAAAUUCUUUUAUUCGUAUUU